rnacentral:siRNA from 1 species
AGGCGACACGGGGAAACUGCUA